UACAGAGGGUGCGAGCGUUGUCCGGAAUCACUGGGCGUAAAGGGCGCGUAGGCGGCGGCGUAAGCGUGUGGUGAAAGCUCGGGGCUCAACUCCGAGUCGGCCAUGCGAACUGCGUCGCUGGAGCACACUAGAGGCGGAUGGAAUUCCGGGUGUAGCGGUGGAAUGCGUAGAGAUCGUAAGGAAGACCAGUGGCGAAGGCGGGUCUCUGGACAGUUCCUGACACUGAGGCACGAAGGCCAGGGGAGCAAACGGG
rnacentral:rRNA from 1 species